GAGGUGGAGUGGUGGAGUGGAUUGCAGGGCAUUCUCUGUGCACUGGUCCAUGGAACCACGCAGCCAAGGCAUGGAUAGCCAGAGAUGGAGUCAGGGGAGCCAGAGGCAUAGAUUGGCAAGCUAGUAAACCUGGACUGCAGAGCAACUGAGAGCUGGGAAAAUGAGCCACUGAAACUGGGGCUACUGACUCCUUCCUUCCCUAGCACAAAGAGCCAGAGAAUGGAGCUGAGCUGCCUAGAGGGCAUAGUGAAAAUCCAUCUUCAACCCUAAUCAUUGUUGAAAAUCAUCAACAACUAAUUUUGUUUUGACCUUAUCUGGCAGGAAAAUCACAGCAAGAAAUAUGAAGAAAGAACAAAAGCCAGUCAAGUUAGUACAGACAGAGGGUCGUUAUUUAAAGCCCCCGUGGCUGGAGUCUGGUAAUUACGCAGGAAUCUCUACUCGCAUUUUAAAAAGCCCAAAAUUUAAGUUUCUAGUCGUCUUGUUUGGAGAGAAAAGCUUGAAAAGCUGAACUAGAAGCCCAGGAAGACAACCCAAACGUCAUUUUUUUUAAAUCUCAUGCUGUGUAAGCCAAUUUCAUGAUUUGUGCAUGCUUGGGAUUGGCAAUACAAGGUUCUCCUGUUUUUGUGCUAAUUGCGUAAUGUUACCUGCUACACGCACAGUUAAAGGUUUGCCCUAGUCUUCGUACAUGCAGGUAGUCCCCAUGAGUCCAGUGAUACCAUUCGUGUAGUAGGACGGGUUUACAGGCCUGGGACCUCUGCUUUUAGAAAUAUAGGCCCAGAUCCUGGGCUGCAUCCAGCCCAGCUCAGGAGCGGGGGUAAAAGUGGUAUUAAAUGACCUUUUACACACUGUGCUGUGGGACCAACAGGCUGUUGGGCCAGUGCCCCGCAUAGGGUACAGUAGCCUCCGGGAGUAAA